GAUGAACGCUGGCAGCGUGCCUAAUACAUGCAAGUCGAGCGAACAGACGAGGAGCUUGCUCCUUCGACGUUAGCGGCGGACGGGUGAGUAACACGUAGGUAACCUACCUAUAAGACUGGGAUAACUUCGGGAAACCGGAGCUAAUACCGGAUAAUAUUUCGAACCGCAUGGUUCGAUAGUGAAAGAUGGCUUUGCUAUCACUUAUAGAUGGACCUGCGCCGUAUUAGCUAGUUGGUAAGGUAACGGCUUACCAAGGCAACGAUACGUAGCCGACCUGAGAGGGUGAUCGGCCACACUGGAACUGAGACACGGUCCAGACUCCUACGGGAGGCAGCAGUAGGGAAUCUUCCGCAAUGGGCGAAAGCCUGACGGAGCAACGCCGCGUGAGUGAUGAAGGUCUUCGGAUCGUAAAACUCUGUUAUUAGGGAAGAACAAACGUGUAAGUAACUGUGCACGUCUUGACGGUACCUAAUCAGAAAGCCACGGCUAACUACGUG
rnacentral:rRNA from 1 species